GACAACGCUGGCGGCGUGCUUAACACAUGCAAGUCGAACGGAAAGGCCCUGCUUGCAGGGUACUCGAGUGGCGAACGGGUGAGUAACACGUGGGUGAUCUGCCCUGCACUUCGGGAUAAGCCUGGGAAACUGGGUCUAAUACCGGAUAGGAGCCAUUUUUAGUGUGAUGGUUGGAAAGUUUUUUCGGUGUAGGAUGAGCUCGCGGCCUAUCAGCUUGUUGGUGGGGUAAUGGCCUACCAAGGCGGCGACGGGUAGCCGGCCUGAGAGGGUGGACGGCCACAUUGGGACUGAGAUACGGCCCAGACUCCUACGGGAGGCAGCAGUGGGGAAUAUUGCAUAAUGGGCGCAAGCCUGAUGCAGCGACGCCGCGUGGGGGAUGACGGCCUUCGGGUUGUAAACUCCUUUCGCUAGGGACGAAGCUUUUUGUGACGGUACCUAGAGAAGAAGCACCGGCUAACUACGUG
rnacentral:rRNA from 1 species